GAUGAACGCUGGCGGCGUGCCUAUGCAUGCAAGUCGAGCGAACGGACGAGAAGCUUGCUUCUCUGAUGUUAGCGGCGGACGGGUGAGUAACACGUGGAUAACCUACCUAUAAGACUGGGAUAACUUCGGGAAACCGGAGCUAAUACCGGAUAAUAUUUUGAACCGCAUGGUUCAAAAGUGAAAGACGGUCUUGCUGUCACUUAUAGAUGGAUCCGCGCUGCAUUAGCUAGUUGGUAAGGUAACGGCUUACCAAGGCAACGAUGCAUAGCCGACCUGAGAGGGUGAUCGGCCACACUGGAACUGAGACACGGUCCAGACUCCUACGGGAGGCAGCAGUAGGGAAUCUUCCGCAAUGGGCGAAAGCCUGACGGAGCAACGCCGCGUGAGUGAUGAAGGUCUUCGGAUCGUAAAACUCUGUUAUUAGGGAAGAACAUAUGUGUAAGUAACUGUGCACAUCUUGACGGUACCUAAUCAGAAAGCCACGGCUAACUACGUG
rnacentral:rRNA from 1 species